rfam:Oryza glumipatula chromosome 12, whole genome shotgun sequence.
GUCAAGUGCGGCCAUAAAUUUCGUUGUCCAACUUUAAUCAUCCGUUUUAUUUAAUUUUUUUUAUUAUUAAAUUAUAAAACAUAAAUAGUAUUUUAUGCGUGAUUUAUUUUUUUUCUAAAAAAAUUAAAUAAAAUAAACAAUUAAAACUAGAUACAGAAACUCAUGGCUGCGUUCAUU